rnacentral:rRNA from 1 species
UACGAAGGGGGCUAGCGUUGUUCGGAAUUACUGGGCGUAAAGGGUGCGUAGGUGGUUUCUUAAGUCAGAGGUGAAAGGCUACGGCUCAACCGUAGUAAGCCUUUGAAACUGAGAAACUUGAGUGCAGGAGAGGAGAGUAGAAUUCCUAGUGUAGCGGUGAAAUGCGCAGAUAUCAGGAAGAACACCAAUGGCGAAAGCAGCUUUCUGGGACGGUACUGACGCUGAGACGCGAAAGCGUGGGGAGCGAACAGG